UAGUAGGAAUGACCCCCAGGACAAGAGU
rnacentral:piRNA from 1 species